UUUGGGGGCUAUGUUCAUCAUUAAGUUUUCAUUUGGUGAUCAUUUUUUUGAGUUUUGUACCCUAACACCUUCUGUAUUAACAAAAAUUACAUAUUUUUUAGUAGAUCUGAACUCAAUAAUUCCUCUAUAGGAGGGGUUUUCCCUCAUAUAUAUAUAUACAAAAUGUAACAUGCAUAAUAACUGCCAGACAUAUAGACUUCCUAUUGAGGCUGGGGUGAGAACACAGCACUCAGUAAGAAACCCUGGGUCUCCUAGGCUGGGGUGAGAAUACAGCAGUCUGGAUAACAAACCCUGGGUCCCUGAAAUAAUAUUCCAGUAUAGGCUAAAUUACGACAGAUACGUUGACCUAUCACUGUCUUGCAUUGUAGAACCUACUAUAGAUGAUUACAUUCGGUGAAGAUAACAGUAGAAAAAGGUUUAUGUGUUUACACACAUAUUUAACAGAUUCACUCUUAAUAACCAACGGAUACUGAAAAUAUUAUCUGAUACUGACUUCUAA
rnacentral:lncRNA from 1 species